rnacentral:rRNA from 1 species
AGUGAACGCUGGCGGUAGGCCUAACACAUGCAAGUCGAGCGGCAGCACAGUAAGAGCUUGCUCUUACGGGUGGCGAGUGGCGGACGGGUGAGGAAUACAUCGGAAUCUACUUUUUCGUGGGGGAUAACGUAGGGAAACUUACGCUAAUACCGCAUACGACCUACGGGUGAAAGCAGGGGAUCUUCGGACCUUGCGCGAUUGAAUGAGCCGAUGUCGGAUUAGCUAGUUGGCGGGGUAAAGGCCCACCAAGGCGACGAUCCGUAGCUGGUCUGAGAGGAUGAUCAGCCACACUGGAACUGAGACACGGUCCAGACUCCUACGGGAGGCAGCAGUGGGGAAUAUUGGACAAUGGGCGCAAGCCUGAUCCAGCCAUACCGCGUGGGUGAAGAAGGCCUUCGGGUUGUAAAGCCCUUUUGUUGGGAAAGAAAAGCAGCAGGUUAAUACCCCGCUGUUCUGACGGUACCAAAAGAAUAAGCACCGGCUAACUUCGUG